GACCGAGGAGGCAAGCGUUAUCCGGAAUUAUUGGGCGUAAAGCGUUCGUAGGUGGUUUGACAAGUCUGGGGUUAAAGCCCGGAGCCCAACUCCGGAUCGGCCCUGGAAACUGUCAGACUUGAGUAAGGUAGGGGUUGCGGGAAUUCCCGGUGUAGCGGUGAAAUGCGUAGAUAUCGGGAAGAACACCAGCGGCGAAAGCGCGCAACUGGGCCAUUACUGACACUGAGGGACGAAAGCUAGGGGAGCGAAUGGU
rnacentral:rRNA from 1 species